rnacentral:rRNA from 1 species
GGCUCAGGAUGAACGCUAGCGGCAGGCCUAACACAUGCAAGUCGAGGGGCAGCGGGGAAAAGCUUGCUUUUCCGCCGGCGACCGGCGCACGGGUGCGCACCGCGUAUGGAACCUGCCUUGUACAGGGGAAUAGCCCAGGGAAACUUGGAUUAAUGCCCCAUGGUACCACGACCCGGCAUCGGGAUGUGGUUAAAGCCCUCGGGCGGUACAAGAUGGCCAUGCGUCCCAUUAGCUUGUUGGUAAGGUAACGGCUUACCAAGGCUACGAUGGGUAGGGGCCCUGAGAGGGGGAUCCCCCACACUGGUACUGAGACACGGACCAGACUCCUACGGGAGGCAGCAGUGAGGAAUAUUGGACAAUGGAGGAGACUCUGAUCCAGCCAUGCCGCGUGCAGGAAGAAUGCCCUAUGGGUAGUAAACUGCUUUUAUACGGGAAGAAAAAGGGCUACGUGUAGCCUACUGACGGUACCGUAAGAAUAAGGACCGGCUAACUCCGUGCCAGCAGCCGCGGUAAUACGGAGGGUCCGAGCGUUAUCCGGAAUUAUUGGGUUUAAAGGGUCCGUAGGCGGGCCGAUAAGUCAGGGGUGAAAGUCUGCCGCUCAACGGUAGAACUGCCUUUGAUACUGUCGGUCUUGAGUUAUAGUGAAGUUGCCGGAAUAUGUAGUGUAGCGGUGAAAUGCAUAGAUAUUACAUAGAACACCGAUUGCGAAGGCAGGUGACUAA